AUCUAUCUGACGAGUCCCAAAUAGGACGAAACACGCGUCUUGGAU
rnacentral:hammerhead_ribozyme from 1 species